rnacentral:rRNA from 1 species
UACGGAGGGGGCUAGCGUUGUUCGGAAUUACUGGGCGUAAAGGGCGCGCAGGCGGCUGCUCAAGUCAGGCGUGAAAGGCCUGGGCUCAACCCGGGAAUUGCGCUUGAGACUGGGCUGGCUUGAGUGCGGGAGAGGUAAGUGGAAUUCCGAGUGUAGAGGUGAAAUUCGUAGAUAUUCGGAAGAACACCAGUGGCGAAGGCGACUUACUGGACACAUACUGACGCUGAGGUGCGAAAGCGUGGGGAGCAAACAGG